rnacentral:rRNA from 1 species
CAGCCGCCGCGGGAAUACGUAGGUGGCAAGCGUUGUCCGGAAUUAUUGGGCGUAAAGGGCUCGCAGGCGGUUUCUUAAGUCUGACGUGAAAGCCCCCGGCUCAACCGGGGAGGGUCAUUGGAAACUGGGAAACUUGAGUGCAGAAGAGGAGAGUGGAAUUCCACGUGUAGCGGUGAAAUGCGUAGAGAUAUGGAGGAACACCAGUGGCGAAGGCGACUCUCUGGUCUGUAACUGACGCUGAGGAGCGAAAGCGUGGGGAGCGAACAGGAUUAGAUACCCCCGUAGUCCCUGUCUCUUAUAC